AAGUCGUAACAAGGUAACCGUAGGUGAACCUGCGGUUGGAUCAUUAAAAAACCGCCUUGUGCGGAUUACCCUGCCGAUGACCGGCUCCGCUUCCUCUCGGGGAAGUGUUGAGAUGUAAGUGUCGCGGCAGUUUGGUGACCUUUUGUGAACUGUUUUGUCUCUGGCGGCCGGGUGAAGGUCCUUUCCGGUCUUCAUCUGUCAGCCUGGCCAAAAGCCGGGCCGUGGACAAACCGCCAACCGUGUUAGACCUAGAUAUAUCAUGUUCAGUCUGAAGUAAACCUGUAUUUUAAUAUACAAACAACUUUUGGCAACGGAUCUCUUGGCUCUC
rnacentral:misc_RNA from 1 species